rnacentral:rRNA from 1 species
GAUGAACGCUGGCGGCGUGCUUAACACAUGCAAGUCGAACGGAAAGGCUCCUGCUUGCAGGGGUACUCGAGUGGCGAACGGGUGAGUAACACGUGGGUGAUCUGCCCUGCACUUCGGGAUAAGCCUGGGAAACUGGGUCUAAUACCGGAUAGGACGAUGGUUUGGAUGCCAUUGUGGAAAGUUUUUGCGGUGUGGGGUAAGCUCGCGGCCUAUCAGCUUGUGGGUGGGGUAAUGGCCUACCAAGGCGUCGACGGGUAGCCGGCCUGAGAGGGUGUACGGCCACAUUGGGACUGAGAUACGGACCAGACUCCUACGGGAGGCAGCAGUGGGGAAUAUUGCACAAUGGGCGCAAGCCUGAUGCAGCGACGCCGCGUGGGGGAUGACGGCCUUCGGGUUGUAAACUCCUUUCGCUAGGGACGAAGCGCAAGUGACGGUACCUGGAGAAGAAGCACCGGCUAACUACGUG